rnacentral:rRNA from 1 species
GAUGAACGCUAGCGGCAGGCCUAAUACAUGCAAGUCGAACGGUGUCUUCGGACAUAGUGGCGCACGGGUGCGUAACACGUAUGCAACCUACCUUACAUUGGGGGAUAGCCUUUCGAAAGGGAGAUUAAUACCGCAUAAGACAGUAGCUGGGCAUCCAGCAGCUGUUAAAGAUUUAUCGAUGUAAGCUGGGCAUGCGUCCAAUUAGCUAGUUGGUGAGGUAACGGCUCACCAAGGCAAUGAUUGGUAGGGGAACUGAGAGGUCAAUCCCCCACACGGGCACUGAGAUACGGGCCAGACUCCUACGGGAGGCAGCAGUGUGGAAUAUUGGGCAAUGGACGCAAGUCUGACCCAGCCAUGCCGCGUGCAGGAUGAAGGCGUUAUGCGUUGUAAACUGCUUUUAUACAGGAAGAAACGACUCUUGCGAGAGGCAUUGACGGUACUGUAUGAAUAAGCACCGGCUAACUCCGUGCCAGCAGCCGCAGUAAGAC